rnacentral:rRNA from 1 species
GAUGAACGCUGGCGGCGUGCCUAAUACAUGCAAGUCGAGCGAACGGACGAGAAGCUGGCUUCUCUGAUGUUAGCGGCGGACGGGUGAUUAACACGUGGAUAACCUACCUCUCAGACUGGGAUAACAUCGGGAAACCGGAGCUAAUAACGGAUAAUAUUUUGAACCGCGUGGGUCACGAGUUAAAGACGCUCUUGCUGUCGCUAAUAGAUGGAUCCGCACUGCCUUAGCUAGUUGGUAGGGUAAAGGCUUACCAAGGCGACGAUGCAUAGCCGACCUGAGAGGAUGCUCAGCCACCCCCGGGCGGAGACACAGCCCGGACUCCUUCGGGAGGCGGCGGUGGGGAAUAGGGGACAAUCGGCGAGAGCCUGAACGAGCCACGCCGCGUAAGUGAUGAAUGCCUUAGAGGUGUAAAGCUCUUUUAACCGGGCUCAUAAUGACAGUACCGAAAGAAUAAGCGCCGGCUAACUCCGUG